rnacentral:rRNA from 1 species
UACGUAGGGUGCGAGCGUUGUCCGGAAUUAUUGGGCGUAAAGAGCUCGUAGGCGGUGUGUCACGUCGGCCGUGAAAACCUGCAGCUUAACUGUGGGCGUGCGGUCGAUACGGGCAUCACUGGAGUUCGGCAGGGGAGACUGGAAUUCCUGGUGUAGCGGUGAAAUGCGCAGAUAUCAGGAGGAACACCGGUGGCGAAGGCGGGUCUCUGGGCCGAUACUGACGCUGAGGAGCGAAAGCGUGGGGUGCAAACAGG